AGUCGACGAUGAAGCUUCUAGCUUGCUAGAAGUGGAUUAGUGGCGCACGGGUGAGUAAGGUAUAGUUAAUCUGCCCUACACAAGAGGACAACAGUUGGAAACGACUGCUAAUACUCUAUACUCCUGCUUAACACAAGUUGAGUAGGGAAAGUUUUUCGGUGUAGGAUGAGACUAUAUAGUAUCAGCUAGUUGGUAAGGUAAUGGCUUACCAAGGCUAUGACGCUUAACUGGUCUGAGAGGAUGAUCAGUCACACUGGAACUGAGACACGGUCCAGACUCCUACGGGGAGGCAGCAGUAGGGAAUAUUGCGCAAUGGGGGAAACCCUGACGCAGCAACGCCGCGUGGAGGAUGACACUUUUCGGAGCGUAAACUCCUUUUCUUAGGGAAGAAUUCUGACGGUACCUAAGGAAUAAGCACCGGCUAACUCCGUGCCAGCAGCCGCGGUAAUACGGAGGGUGCAAGCGUUACUCGGAAUCACUGGGCGUAAAGGGCGCGUAGGCGGAUUAUCAAGUCUCUUGUGAAAUCUAAUGGCUUAACCAUUAAACUGCUUGGGAAACUGAUAGUCUAGAGUGGGGGAGAGGCAGAUGGAAUUGGUGGGUGUAGGGGUAAAA
rnacentral:rRNA from 1 species